rnacentral:lncRNA from 1 species
GUGUGAAACCUUCAUAUACAUUUCUCAUACUGGGUAUUGUCAUGUACUAUUGGCAUCAACAAGAAGCAUACUUUUCAAAAAUCAGGUUAUUUAAUGUUGUGAUUUGAAAAUACCGGUAAUGCAGGUAAUUUCAGCUUUCCUGUUCACCUCUGCAUAGAUCCAAUACUAGCUACUUUGCAGGUGAUUGAUGUCUUUUAUCCUCAAAACACUUUGCAAAAAAUAAAGCAGAUUCUAUUGUCAUUUAAUCAAUGCAUGAGAAUAACCUAGAACUAGCUGCAAACCUGUUCGCAGCACUUGUAAAUUAGGCAAAAAGAGGAAGAGAUGAUUACUUGUUAGAAUUUAUCUUAUGGAGUAUUUGAUCUGUAUACUUCACCAUUGUUAUAUCAAAACUUUAAUGACGAGAUUAAUCUUGCAGUGAAAUAAUCCCAACCUCUUGUGUUUUUCACCAUGCCAUUUCUCUUGUUUUACAGCUGGAGAAACUGAAGUAGGAAUAGGAUUGUAAAUUGCUCUAGUCCAAAAAGUGAGUGGAAGUCAGAACCAGAAUUAACAUUCACUUAUCACUGCUGCCCUUAACUGAAGUGUCUCACAGUCGUUGAGAGUAACUGUUUCUUGUGAACCUGGCUGGCAAUUAAAAUGAAAGUAUCUGAGUGACAAAGGAAGGGGAGAGAAGGCAGGGGCUGCUGUGGGAAAAACAUGAAUGCAUUCAGUAGCUGCACAAAGUAUAUAGCAGAAUACUGCCAGACCAGCUCUUCCCUUGUUGCAGCUCUAACUUCCCUGCUGUGA